rnacentral:rRNA from 1 species
UGAGAGCCCGGAGACGGUAUCUGAGACAAGAUGCCGGGCCCUACGGGGCGCAGCAGGCGCGAAACCUUUACACUGCACGACAGUGCGAUAGGGGGACUCCGAGUGCGAGGGCAUAUAGUCCUCGCUUUUCUGUACCGUAAGGUGGUACAAGAAUAAGGGCUGGGCAAGACCGGUGCCAGCCGCCGCGGUAAUACCGGCAGCCCGAGUGAUGGCCGCUAUUAUUGGGCCUAAAGCGUCCGUAGCCGGCCAGACAAGUCCGUUGGGAAAUCGGCGCGCUCAACGCGUCGGCGUCCGGCGGAAACUGUCUGGCUUGGGGCCGGAAGACCUGAGGGGUACGUCCGGGGUAGGAGUGAAAUCCCGUAAUCUCGGACGGACCGCCGGUGGCGAAAGCGCCUCAGGAAGACGGACCCGACGGUGAGGGACGAAAGCCAGGGUCUCGAACCGGAUUAGAUACCCGGGUAGUCCUGGCCGUAAACGAUGCUCGCUAGGUGUGCCGCAGGCUACGAGCCUGCGCUGUGCCGUAGGGAAGCCGCGAAGCGAGCCGCCUGGGAAGUACGUCAGCAAGGAUGAAACUUAAAGGAAUUGGCGGGGGAGCACUACAACCGGAGGAGCCUGCGGUUUAAUUGGACUCAACGCCGGACAUCUCACCAGCACCGACAGUAGCAGUGACGGUCAGUGUGAUGAGCUUACCUGAGCUACUGAGAGGAGGUGCAUGGCCGCCGUCAGCUCGUACCGUGAGGCGUCCUGUUAAGUCAGGCAACGAGCGAGACCCGCACUCCUAGUUGCCAGCAGCAUCUCGCGAUGGCUGGGUACACUAGGAGGACUGCCGCUGCCAAAGCGGAGGAAGGAACGGGCAACGGUAGGUCAGUAUGCCCCGAAUGUGCUGGGCGACACGCGGGCUACAAUGGCCGGGACAGUGGGACGCCAGUCCGAGAGGACGCGCUAAUCCCCGAAACCC